rnacentral:rRNA from 1 species
CCCUUAGAUGUUCUGGGCCGCACGCGCGCUACACUGAUGCAUUCAACGAGUUCCUACCUUGGCCGAGAGGCCUGGGCAAUCUUUUGAACUUGCAUCGUGAUAGGGAUAGAUUAUUGCAAUUAUUAAUCUUGAACGAGGAAUUCCUAGUAAACGCAGAUCAUCAAUCUGCAUUGAUUACGUCCCUGCCCUUUGUACACACCGCCCGUCGCACCUACCGAUUGAAUGGUCCGGUGAAGCCUCGGGAUUGUGGUUAGUUUCCUUCAUUGGAAGUUAGCCGCGAGAACUUGUCUAAACCUUAUCAUUUAGAGGAAGGUGAAGGCGUAACA